rfam:TPA: Bos taurus chromosome 5, whole genome shotgun sequence.
UCCCUGGUGGUCCAGUGGUUAGGACUCCUCGCUUCCACUCCUGGGGGCACAGGUUCCAUCCCUGUUCAAGGAA